GCGGACAUACAUACAGCGGCUACAUAUAUGGCAGGCGGCUGGCAGAGGUUAAGGCCUGACUUCUGCUCCCAGUCGACCCAGUCGACCCGGGUUCAAAUCCGCCUGCCGGCUCCUCGGGUGUUUGAGGAGUGAUGAAAUGGGAGGUGGCCCCCCAUCUUAUGGACGGUGUAGGACGUGAUAAUAUCAACUUGCGAGCUGACCAGGAACUAAGUUGAUGCGCCGUUGAUCCGCUAGAUUUGGUUGGAUGCUGGUGGUGAGUUGCCGAACCCAACGAAUACAUUCUGAAGUCGGAUGGGGUGACGGAUUAGGGUGCCCCUCUAGCAGGGGAGAGCAGGGACUGCCCCGGGAAAGGGGGCCGCUGGCGAAGUUGACCACCCUGUAACAACAUACAUACAGCGGGUUCAAAUCCGCCUGCCGACCCCUCGGUGUGUGAGGGGUGUUGAAUUGGAAGGUGGCCCCCAAUCUUGUGGACGGUGUAGGACGUGAUUAUAGCAAUUUGUGAGCUGACCAGGAACUAAGUUGUGGCGCCGUUGAUCCGCUAGAUUUGGUUGGUGGUGAGUUGCUGAACCCAACGAAUACAUUCUGAAGUCGGAUGGGGUGAUUGGAUUAGGGUGCCCCUCUAGCAGGGGAGAGCAUGCCUCGGGAAAGGGGGCCGCUGGUGGAGCUAUACCACCCUGUAACAACAUACAUACAGGCGGACAGUUCUGCAGGCAGUGGCUAGUAGUGGGGCUUGAAGGGACCUUCACAACCCUUCAGAGUCCCACAUUUUUUGGUCAAUCAGUAGGUAAUCGGCUAAUUCCUCUUAAUGGAUCCUAUCCAGGCAUCCAAGAUGGUGAAGGCAGAGUAAUGCUAUACAUAUGCGUGUGUGUUACAUGGUUGGGGGUUGCGUGCCCCCAUACCUGUAAAACAACCCAUACGAGCCGAAGGCCCAAGGAACAUCUAUACGCCUAAAAGCCACGGAUAAAAAGAAACACCGCACUAUCAGCCCAGACUAGCGCCCAAAGGGGAUAACUGGGUUGCGGUGAGCCGUUACAUACGUUCCAACAUCCUCACCAGACGUACUGACUCCCAUUUCAUGGCCUCCAACAUGCUCUGUUGAUGAUUAAAUCCCUCUUCCGCACGAAUUUCAUUAUAGACUCGGCAUUCCAAUAACACAUGCUUUUCAUCAUCGACGUCCUGUACAUAUGUCUGCGGCAUAUGUGUGCCUAAAGCAUGCACCCACGCAUCACCUUUCCCCUCCGGCGUGUUCACCUGCAUGAUGUUUUCGCCGUAGUCCUUGCCACCGGAAUGCUUGAGAGAGCAGCCGGCAUCGGCCAGCUUUUGCGCGUAGGUGGUCGCCGAAGCGGCCAAGUUUGCGUCCCAUUGCAUGGGGCCUGCCUGGUGACGCGCACGGUAGACGUUGUGCUGAGCCAAGGUUGCUCGGGCGUCAGGGCAGUUGCCGCCUGUGGGAGCGGGAUGGAGAGGCGUGGAGGGGUGGGGUGGGGCGGCGCGGGGCAAGGGUGUAUGUCACAGACGAUGGAGGUGGGUGUGCUUCAAUAAAACUACCGGUUUUGAAGCGGUUAGCGAGGUCACACGGAGUGUGAACGCCAACAGCGUCACUUUGAGAGCUGCCUGACUUGGCAACGCCAUCUUCGCACUAUGAAGGUGAAAGGUGGAAUCGCUUGAGAGUUAAGACGUACCUCCAAGUGAUGGGGGGGGUCUCAACACUGGUGACCGAGGCACAUUGGGAGGGGGUGGGGGUGGGGGCGGUGGGGGCGGUGGGGGCGGGCUUGCUAAUGGGGGGGGCCUGGGUGAGACGGCUGGUCUCGGUGGGCUUCGAACAGGUGGGGGUCUGGGCGGGGGCUUGCGAGUUCGGGGAGAUGGUGGCGGGCGCCUUGGUGACCUUGGCUGCCGUGGUGCGGUGGGCGAAUCCGGUGCGUAGUCCGAGGAGUCGACGUCUAUGCCUAGAGCCUCGCGCCGACUUCUCAACCGGACCUCGCCUGUGAGGUGUGAACAGUAAAGGUGGUCCAAACUUCAUGAGCCAUUUCAGAGGCAGCUUCAAGGUUUCUGUCGGCACAUAUUCAAACCCGUUUUUGACCAAGGAGAGCAACGAACAUGAAAUACAGGCAUAUUACUGUUUACACGUACUCACGCUUGCUAUGGAAGCCAUGGUCUGACAUUCCCUGGACAAGAGACAUGAUUGUCAGGGACAAAGCUAGGAUGGCGACAGUGCCGAGUUGACCCAUCGUCUUCGUCUCCUUAGCUAGAUAGUUAGGUAUGAAAUGAAAGUUGUGACGUUGGUAUAAGCAACUUGCUUUGUUGAUGUGACCUGGGCUAAGCAGAUAGCAUUUGUGCGUCACGUGUGUCUUUAAGUUGCCUAGGCUAUAUUUCUGUAGAGUAUGUACGUCAUAUGUAUAAUUCGCCAAGCACUAUUGAAUCCAUUAGUGAUGGUUUCCGGCGGAAAUCAAAGGUACCUGGCGGUCGUUCGUAAGCCUGUACGGAAAAAGCAAGCGCCCAACACAGACCGCAAUGUUUAUUUGGUGACGACGUUGCGGCGGAAUCAGAGAAUGUGAAAUUAUAGGUUCCAGGAUGAUUGUAAAACUUCUCUCAUAGAUAUCAGAUGCACUUUUUGAUUACCUUUUGGAGAACUCUAUGGCGUCCUACGUGACUAGGUUUUGAGAAAAAUAAAUUUUCAAAGCGAAACUCUCAACUUUCACCCUAACAUAGAAGAUUUACGUUUCCAUGGAAUGGCGGGCUCUGGAGGCGGCUGAAAUGUCGUAUGCGCACGCCCAACGUCGGCAAUCCUCAAACAUGCCAUGACGACUACGUAAAUACUCUCUAUAACCAGCAAGCUUUGCGCGGGAAUCGCUGGCUCUGGCCACGAUGACGUGCUAUGGCUAUCUUCGGAAUAAGUCGGAAGACCACCGUGCCGUGUUGUAUCCGUUAUUUUAUAAGGCUUCGACAGAUCACAUAGCAAAUGAGAUCCAAAGAAGUAGAUGACAUCGCCAACCUGCAUGAAGGGCAGAUUGCCACGGAUCCCUCAAUCUUCGGAGCCUUCAUCAGGUUUCUUUUCGAUCAUCUAGGAGAGAUGCAGCUUACAAUGAAAGAACCUGAUCAGCCGGUCUCGUUCGACAAUCCGGAUAGUAACGCCGCCUUACUCGCUGGCGGCUUGUGCUUUUCAUUUCUGAAACCACCGUCCAAACGACAUCUUCACUGCAACAAAAAUUUAGAUAUCUUUUCCUAUAUGAUCAAGAUAAACCGCAGCUCCGCGCAUACAGCCCGAACCACAGUUUGCAACUGUCCCUCGCGACCUCGCGGUUUGAGGCUUACGCGGGAGAUUUUAACCUUGGCGAGCCCACAGAGUACGCCAGGCAUCGUGCAUAGAGACCGUUGAGCACAUUCACGCACGCAGGGAUGUAACUGGGGCAGCCCUCCGUUUGGAAGGCUCGGCCUGCUGGCCUGCGCCGUUGCCUAUGACCACGCACCCUCUUGUUUUGCCUACCCACCUGUCUACGUGUACAUCCGCCUGGCUACCUGCCCACCGUCUGCCUACCUACCUGCUUCUCUGUCUGCCUGCCUACCUGCCAGCCUGCCUGCCUAAUGCCUGCACAGGUGCUACUGACAAAACUUGAACUUUCUUCGACGAUAAAUGCUUUGCCAGGGACAGGAUUUUUCCAUUUCACUAAUGAAAAAAUUCCGUACCCUAGCUUGACCGUAGUUUAGAGGCUUCUGCUAUGACAUGAAUUUUGCGCCACUUCGCUAUAUUGAACCGCCGUCGCCAGUCGCGACAACGCGCGAUAACGGGGCAAAAGUUAAAAACGUCGACAGCUGCGUUGCAGCCCAGGUAGUUGUAUUGCUUGCGAUGUUGUGUCUAUCUAAAGGACGCGCGAUUUGCUGCUGGCCUAGAGGCACAAGUUCUACUCAACAGCUCGAUGCAACCGACCCAAAGUUAUCGAUUACCUUUGACCACAUCUGUCUUGAAAAAAAAAUUCGGAAAACUCAGAAAAUACGGGACACGCUCAAUAAUAAUAAUAAUAAUAAUAAUUUGGAUACAGCAAUCGCUCCAAUAAUGUGCUGCGUGUUGCCUGCCCUCGACAUCGAGCUGCUGCUUACGCUUUAUUUCCCAGUCUGGUUCCAACUUGUGGUUUCCGAGGCUCCCCGACGGCGCCGGCAGCGCACCUUAGUCCUUCGUUACCGACAGCUGGGCGAUCUCGUCCUAUGUAAAGCAAAAUUUUGCAGAAUGGGGGCAUAACUAGCCAAGCGCCGUGCCCCAUAGUGUCGCAAGCAUCCUCUCCAGCUCGCAAGCAUCCUCUCCCACUCGCUGUGUUUUACACGUGCUUCCAAAUAUGGCACAACCAAGAUGAUGACGCCGCUGGGAAUCAUCGAAUGGAGAUAAGAUCGUCCUGAGAUCGCUAAACCAAAAGCGCAUAACAAACUAAGGAAUAGGAGGCGCGCCAGCAGAACAACCUACUACUUAUACAACUACUACAACUACUACUACUCAGACGGACCGACUCAGCAGCUCUGCAACAUCACAUAAUAACCGGUCAUGCAUCUUAAUAUCGUUGUCUAUUAGGCGAUAAAUAUAGCCGACGAUAGCCUAUGGCUGUAGUCCGCACCGUCUACAGUCGAGCUCGGCUAUAUCGCCUGAACUACUGGGUCGGGUUGACUAAUAGUCGAGAAGAGGCGCUAGAGUCGAUCAGAAAAAUGCAGACGGUCCGGUCCCCCUUCGCUGAUGCACAUACACGGCUUAACCAACCGGUCCGGCCAGUUUGUGCCUGGUCAGUAAAAGCUCUCAGGCUGCGUCCCAGCCGGCGUCCCAGUAAAGAAGCUAGCUACGGCCCACGCCCCGCCUACACGUCAUCAGGCGGCGUGGAUAAAUUUCCACAACAAAUAGGUAGGUAGACAGAUGCGGGUUGGUCACGCAAUGCCAUCCGAAGACCUCGUAAGUCGGGAAAUAGCUAGCAUAGCACAGCAGCGGACAGAACAAGGGGCUUCGCCGAACCAGGAAAUCAGGAAACCUGAUGUGAUGUGACAAUAAUGUGGAGGCGCAUCAUGGAGAGCCCUGCAACAACUAACCCUUACAUGUAUAGCAUCGUCUAGACAAGCUGAAGGCCCAUAGACCUGCUAAUGAAAUUCAGCGGAAGUACUUUUGGAGUUGAAUGGAAGGCUGGAAGGAGAACACACGUCACGCAAGGCGGAUGAGAGCGGGACCAUCUUUUUCCAGCAUCUAGGAAGGCCUUUUCGGCGGCUGGCAGCAGGAUCACCGCACAGCACGAACGACUCAGCAAAUAAUCAAGAAAGGCACCACACCCACGACUAGGACGCAGGCUGAUAUGUGGCCCCACCCACUCCCCAAACAAGCUAAUAAGGACGACACGAACGCAGGUGCGUGAAAAGCCACAAAGCUAGAUAGCCCACAGACGCAGCGUACUAGCUGCUGCCGCACAGCACCCCGACGUCUCCUCUUCCCACACCAGCCAUCCUUCACCCCUCGCAAAGACACAGACCCAACUCGCUUCCAAAGCAAGACAUAAAUGCAGAGGACAAUUGAAGCUGUAGUAGCUGGCCUCCCGCUGAAAAGGCCUCCCGAGAUGCUGGUGAAGCGCUUCGAGCGCGUAUUUGUAGCUGAUAUGUGUGCCGUACUGUGUACCAACAACUGCAGAGUCAUGCAUGAACGGCUGGGCGGAUUACAAAGAUGGAAUCGCCGCGCGAGGGCGGAAUGGAUGUGCUGACCCCGUUGCCCGCAGCAAUGAGUACCUUUCACAAAAACCUAGAUAACUCAAGGUAUAACCUAACUGUCACCGCGUCAUAACCCUUCUAUGGAGACGCAUGCAUUCAUGCAUGCAAGGUACGCCCAGGCAUGCAUGCAGCUUGAUUGCCCAAGUCCUUGGAUGCCUCUUCAUGCAUGCACCAAUUGGUGCGUAUGUCGUGGCUGCUGCUGAUUCGUACGUUGUCGCCCUAUGGCAGCCAGAACCGUGUCUGCAGCGAAUCAAAAUUCAAAGCACGCACUCUAUGAUAUGAUAAGCUGCAUUCCGUGGACUACUUUUAAGCUUGACUUUUUAUGGCUAUAAAUAACCACGCUAUGCGUGCUGAUCCCAUCCGCCUUAACUAUUUCCUGCUGCAAACACGCGCUCAACCACGCACGCAUGCGCGUGCUUGCGUCGUCAUAAGGCAACAGGGGAUGGCUGGUUGAAUGAACCCUAAGCAUGCAACCCCCGCCGCUUAAAGCCACAUGUCAAGUGUGCCCACCCUGCGUAGAUCCUUGCCUCCAGUGCAGCCGCUUGAAACGUUUCCCCGAAAAUAUCCUAUCGUAGGUGGACAAUAAUAAUAGACACAGCUAUAUAGAUAUUGUACCCCUACGGCAAGCGGCCGUCAUUACUCAGGCUGAGUAAUAAUGAUGCGCCCGCGCGCCAGCAGCGCCAUCAUGUGUGGGGUGUGGCCACCAUCGUCGUCGUCGGGUCAUGCAAGCUUAAGGUUCUUGCAUGGUGUGAAUCUCGGCCUGUCUGUCCGUCCCAAUCGCCACACUUCUUCCCCGCUGCCUGCUAUUCAUUUCACAUUCACUUCUGCUGGUUGUUGUCACGUACGGAUGGACACGACCGAUGAUCGUAUGUAUGUACGUCCGGACAUGCAAAUGAUUAGCGCCUGAGUAGCAGCAGUGCCUUGGGAGGCCAGCACCCACUCUAUAAAUAGUGGUAUUGAUCCAGCACCACUGUAGAACGCGUAUCAUAUGGUGGUAGUUGGCAGCAGAGUAGUGGUCGAUGGCAGCAGACCUAACCGCAGGUGUAUUAGCGCGCGGAAUUCCAUUUCACAGCACAGCGCCUUGGAGCUCCUGAAGCUAGAUAGCUAUAGGUAUAUAGGCGGUCCUGCUACUGUUUGCCAGAAGGUACGCUGUGGACCAUUUGCUGUGAGGCUAUAUAUGCUAUUGCGGAUCGUCCCAGAUAACUAUGGCCGAGCUGUUGCGCAGUACUGCAGGUACGGGAAGCCGGGGGGAGGGGCAGCAGGGGAUGUGAAAUAAAGCAAGGCGCGAGCGCACAGCAGACACAGACGGUAGCAAGAUUGAUCUGAUCGUGACGAUGCAGCAUACACGCACGGCUGCCAGCCAUUUCACCUAAACCCUACGCUAACACACAAUGAGGGGGUUGCGUGGCACCUGAGCUAGCGUAUGAGGCUGGCAAUAGGAUUCGAACAGAUGACGGCGCCUUGCGGCUAUGAGGGGUGACGGUUACGACCCGACACUGACAGAUGGAAUUAAUGUCCUUCCAAAAGAUACAAAGCAUUAGGAGAUUUACCCAUGGGGGUGGGUAUCGUCUCCCGGCCAUAAGGGGCUAAUGAGAUGGGUGUAACAAAUACACACACAGAUGACACACACACACAGACACAGACACAGACACACACACACAGACACACAGACAGACACACAUAUCAGCUUAGCCCCCAUCAACUCUCGCUUUCCUGCAGCACAAGCCGCGCCUUUAACGGGACCAAUAAUGGGAUUUCCAGUCAGGCAAGCAAGCAGUCGAGCAAAUAAGAGAAAAAGCUUGUAAUAAACUCGUAAACAUUACAGGCCACUUACCGUUUACCGCGAAGACAUUGUCGGAGGGGAUGUUGCCAGCCCAUCUGUAACGGCACACAACCAUCUUGCAGGCGCCGAUGUACGUCCGCAUGUUAAAUUCUAUGGGGUGACUGUAAUUCACCGCAACACCGCAGCCAAUGAGGGUUGUUGACCUCCAAACCAACUGCGUAAAAUGCCCAACCAUCUGAGAUUGGUACCAAUUGUCUUUGAACAGCCGCUUAGCAUCAAAAUUGUAGUACAUGACCUCUCGGUACCAGGCAGUGGGCGCCAGAAUGCAGGUGCUAUCGAUUGAGGGAUAGCCCCGCUUCGUUACAAGAUUCUCUCCGUCCAUACCCAUGGAAUGCGCGAGGAUGCAGUCCCUGCGAGCCAACACAUGGGCAUAAGCGGUGGCCUCCGCGGCCAUCUCCGCGUCCCACUGCAGGGCCGGUGUUUGAUGCCGAGCGCGGUACCAGUUAUGGCGCUCCAGGAUUGUUUUUGCGUCGGGGCAGUUGCUGCCUGCGUGGCGGCGCGGGGAAGAACCAAGUCGAUGAAAAACAUCUGCGCAUCGCUCCGUUUAUUAUUAUAUAUUUAUCUUGGGAUGCGCGGCAGCAGCAUGCGGAUACGUUGGAGGAGGUUAUCAGUACGCGUAUGUCAGUAUAUGUUAUCAGUAUGUGUUUGUUGGAACGGCGGAAUAAUAAUGGGACAAUACGUAUACAUGUAAUAGAGCACGCAGCAGAAGGAACAUGCAUGUAUGGUCGACGCCGCAAUAUCAUUUCAUCCUAUAAAAACAUCAUCAUCAUCAAACGCACUAAGUAGCGUGAUGAUGGAAUGAACAGGUAAGUGGCAUGGAUGUUGCGCACAGCAGGCAGGAGGAGGAUAUGUACAUACAUUCAAAUAAAUAAACCUUAAGUGCGAAUUCAAUACGCAAAUGGCUUCUGGUCCCGUGCACAUUUAUGCACAUGUAUUUACUGUUAUGAAUUGUAUGAAUGGAUGCUUGCUGAUUAACUUAGGUUGUGCUAUACAGCAUGGUUGCCGGCGCAUGGCACCAGAGCUCGCAAGCAAAAUUCAGUCCUAAAUGCAGGCCAACCCUCAGUUUAUUACGAGUGUCGCCAUAGUAUUAUUGCUGCCUGACCUGGGAGGGUGCCAUUACCGGCGGAGACGGGGGGCGGCGGUGGUGGUGGCGGCGAUGCUAGCGAGCGGGGCAGAGGCGGCAUCAGAGGCGGCACAGGUCUUCGAGGAGGCGGACUGCGUGGAGGCAAGGGCGGUGGAGGCGGCCGAGGCUUCGGGGGCGACGGAGGCGGCCGACUCCUUGGCGGCGGGCGAGGCGGCCGCGGCGGGCCAGCACGCCUGAUGUUAACCAUGAUCGGUCGGGGUGGUUGUCGGGGGCUUGGGGGGGGACCUGUGUGCGAGCGGAUAAAUUGUUGCAAUCUACUUUGUUGUCAUUCAUUAGCCAAUCCUGUUUCCGUCAGCAGGUAGGCAGGCAGAUAGGCAGGCAGCAACGAAAUGCCAUUAUCGCCACGGAAGGCAGGAGAUUUCUGCCAAUGAGAUUUGUCCUGGCGAAGACUUGGCUGGCUGGUGUGCAACGGCGCGUAUGUGGGACGGCGGCCGGGGACAGAUAAACACCGUCACUUGCAUCUGCAUGGCCUCCAUUUCCCUUCGUUUCGGGGCAACCUAGUCUAAACAAGUUAUUAGGGGAUAUACAUACAGCAUCCGCUCACGUCCGGGGGCAUCUGUAAAAGCCUGCGGCCCCGGGCGGCCUCAUGAACGGUUCUUUGUUGUUACUGGAUAAUAACACAUACACACACAUACGCACACAUACACACAUACACACACAUACACACACAUACACAUACAUACACACACAUACACACACAUACACACACAUACACACACAUACACACAUACACACACAUACACACACAUACACACACAUACACAAAUACACACACAUACACACACAUACACACACAUACACACACAUACACAAAUACACACACAUACACACACAUACACAAAUACACACACAUACACACACAUACACACAAUGGGAGGUGGCCCCCCAUCAUAUGGACGGUGUAGGACGUGAUAAUAUCAACUUGCGAGCUGAUCAGGAACUAAGUUGAUGCGCCGUUGAUCCGCUAGAUUUGGUUGGAUGCUGGUGGUGAGUUGCCGAACCCAACGAAUACAUUCUGAAGUCGGAUGGGGUGACGGAUUAGGGUGCCCCUCUAGCAGGGGAGAGCAGGGACUGCCCCGGGAAAGGGGGCCGCUGGCGAAGUUAACCACCCUGUAACAACAUACACACACAUACACACACAUACACACGCAUACACACACAUACACACAUACACACAUGUUGUGGUCCUAAUAGCCGAAUUGAGGAUGAAA
rnacentral:lncRNA from 1 species